UGCAUCUAGAUUAGAGUUUGAUCCUGGCUCAGGACGAACGCUGGCGGCAUGCCUAAUACAUGCAAGUCGAGCGGAUCUCGUUAGUAGCUUGCUACUAACUUGGUUAGCGGCGGACGGGUGAGUAACACGUAGGCAACCUGCCCUUAAGAUCGGGAUAACAUUCGGAAACGAAUGCUAAGACCGGAUAAACAAUUUGGCUGCAUGGCCGAAUUGGGAAACGCGGAGCAAUCUGCGGCUUAGGGAUGGGCCUGCGGCGCAUUAGCUAGUUGGUGGGGUAAAGGCUCACCAAGGCGACGAUGCGUAGCCGACCUGAGAGGGUGAACGGCCACACUGGGACUGAGACACGGCCCAGACUCCUACGGGAGGCAGCAGUAGGGAAUCUUCCACAAUGGGCGAAAGCCUGAUGGAGCAAUGCCGCGUGAGUGAGGAAGGCUCUCGGGUCGUAAAGCUCUGUUGCCAGGGAAGAAUAAGGGUGAGAGUAACUGCUCAUUCGAUGACGGUACCUGAGAAGAAAGCCCCGGCUAACUACGUGCCAGCAGCCGCGGUAAUACGUAGGGGGCAAGCGUUGUCCGGAAUUAUUGGGCGUAAAGCGCGCGCAGGCGGUUCUUUAAGUUUGGUGUCUAAGUGCGGGGCUCAACCCCGUGAUGCACUGGAAACUGGGGAACUUGAGUGCAGAAGAGGAAAGCGGGAUUCCACGUGUAGCAGUGAAAUGCGUAGAGAUGUGGAGGAACACCAGUGGCGAAGGCGGCUUUCUGGACUGUAACUGACGCUGAGGCGCGAAAGCGUGGGGAGCAAACAGGAUUAGAUACCCUGGUAGUCCACGCUGUAAACGAUGAGUGCUAGUGUUGGGGGUAUCAUGCCCUCGGUGCCGAAGUUAACACAUUAAGCACUCCGCCUGGGGAGUACGGUCGCAGACUGAAACUCA
rnacentral:rRNA from 1 species